rnacentral:rRNA from 1 species
AUGGCUGUCGUCAGCUCGUGCCGUGAGGUGUUGGGUUAAGUCCCGCAACGAGCGCAACCCCUACUGCCAGUUACUAACAGGUAACGCUGAGGGCUCUGGCGGAACUGCCGGUGACAAACCGGAGGAAGGUGGGGAUGACGUCAAGUCAUCAUGGCCCCUAUGUCCAGGGCUACACACGUGCUACAAUGGGCGAUACGGAGUGACGCGAAGCCGCGAGGUGGAGCAAAUCGCAGAAAAUCGCUCUCAGUUCGGAUUGGAGUCUGAAACCCGACUCCAUGAAGGUGGAGUCGCUAGUAAUCGCGCAUCAGCAUGGCGCGGUGAAUACGUUCCCGGGCCUUGUACACACCGCCCGU